UUAAACGACUCUCGGCAACGGAUAUCUCGGCUCUCGCAUCGAUGAAGAACGUAGCGAAAUGCGAUACUUGGUGUGAAUUGCAGAAUCCCGUGAACCAUCGAGUCUUUGAACGCAAGUUGCGCCCGAAGCCUUCGGGCCGAGGGCACGUCUGCCUGGGCGUCACG
rnacentral:rRNA from 1 species